CCUACGGGUGGCUGCAGUGGGGAAUAUUGCACAAUGGGCGCAAGCCUGAUGCAGCCAUGCCGCGUGUGAAGAAGGCCUUCGGGUUGUAAAGCACUUUCAGCGGGGAGGAAGGCGGUGAGGUUAAUAACCUCAUCGAUUGACGUUACCCGCAGAAGAAGCACCGGCUAACUCCGUGCCAGCAGCCGCGGUAAUACGGAGGGUGCAAGCGUUAAUCGGAAUUACUGGGCGUAAAGCGCACGCAGGCGGUCUGUCAAGUCGGAUGUGAAAUCCCCGGGCUCAACCUGGGAACUGCAUUCGAAACUGGCAGGCUAGAGUCUUGUAGAGGGGGGUAGAAUUCCAGGUGUAGCGGUGAAAUGCGUAGAGAUCUGGAGGAAUACCGGUGGCGAAGGCGGCCCCCUGGACAAAGACUGACGCGCAGGUGCGAAAGCGUGGGGAGCAAACAGGAUUAGAUACCCGGGUAGUC
rnacentral:rRNA from 1 species